UACGUAGGCAGCGAGCGUUGUUCGGAGUUACUGGGCGUAAAGAGUGCGUAGGCGGUUUUCUAAGUUUGGUGUGAAAUCUCCCGGCUUAACUGGGAGGGUGCGCCGAAAACUGGAAGGCUUGAGUAUGGGAGAGGUAAGCGGAAUUCCUGGUGUAGCGGUGAAAUGCGUAGAUAUCAGGAGGAACACCUGCGGUGUAGACGGCUUACUGGACCACAACUGACGCUGAGGCACGAAAGCGUGGGUAGCAAACAGG
rnacentral:rRNA from 1 species